rnacentral:rRNA from 1 species
GAUGAACGCUGGCGGCGUGCCUAAUACAUGCAAGUCGAGCGAACGGACGAGAAGCUUGCUUUUCUGAUGUUAGCGGCGGACGGGUGAGUAACACGUGGAUAACCUACCUAUAAGACUGGGAUAACUUCGGGAAACCGGAGCUAAUACCGGAUAAUAUUUUGAACCGCAUGGUUCAAAAGUGAAAGAUGGUCUUGCUGUCACUUAUAGAUGGAUCCGCGCUGCAUUAGCUAGUUGGUAAGGUAACGGCUUACCAAGGCAACGAUGCAUAGCCGACCUGAGAGGGUGAUCGGCCACACUGGAACUGAGACACGGUCCAGACUCCUACGGGAGGCAGCAGUAGGGAAUCUUCCGCAAUGGGCGAAAGCCUGACGGAGCAACGCCGCGUGAGUGAUGAAGGUCUUCGGAUCGUAAAACUCUGUUAUUAGGGAAGAACAUAUGUGUAAGUAACUGUGCACAUCUUGACGGUACCUAAUCAGAAAGCCACGGCUAACUACGUGCCAGCAGCCGCGGUAAUACGUAGGUGGCAAGCGUUAUCCGGAAUUAUUGGGCGUAAAGCGCGCGUAGGCGGUUUUUUAAGUCUGAUGUGAAAGCCCACGGCUCAACCGUGGAGGGUCAUUGGAAACUGGAAAACUUGAGUGCAGAAGAGGAAAGUGGAAUUCCAUGUGUAGCGGUGAAAUGCGCAGAGAUGUGGAGGAACACCAGUGGCGAAGGCGACUUUCUGGUCUGUAACUGACGCUGAUGUGCGAAAGCGUGGGGAUCAAACAGGAUUAGAUACCCUGGUAGUCCACGCCGUAAACGAUGAGUGCUAAGUGUUAGGGGGUUUCCGCCCCUUAGUGCUGCAGCUAACGCAUUAAGCACUCCGCCUGGGGAGUACGACCGCAAGGUUGAAACUCAAAGGAAUUGACGGGGGCCCGCACAAGCGGUGGAGCAUGUGGUUUAAUUCGAAGCAACGCGAAGAACCUUACCAAAUCUUGACAUCCUUUGACAACUCUAGAGAUAGAGCCUUCCCCUUCGGGGGACAAAGUGACAGGUGGUGCAUGGUUGUCGUCAGCUCGUGUCGUGAGAUGUUGGGUUAAGUCCCGCAACGAGCGCAACCCUUAAGCUUAGUUGCCAUCAUUAAGUUGGGCACUCUAAGUUGACUGCCGGUGACAAACCGGAGGAAGGUGGGGAUGACGUCAAAUCAUCAUGCCCCUUAUGAUUUGGGCUACACACGUGCUACAAUGGACAAUACAAAGGGCAGCGAAACCGCGAGGUCAAGCAAAUCCCAUAAAGUUGUUCUCAGUUCGGAUUGUAGUCUGCAACUCGACUACAUGAAGCUGGAAUCGCUAGUAAUCGUAGAUCAGCAUGCUACGGUGAAUACGUUCCCGGGUCU